AUCACCUCCUAAAGGGCCCAGCUCUUAAUAUUAUCACAUUGAUGAUUAAGUUUCAACAUAUGAAUUUUGGCGAGACACAUUCACACCAUAGCAGCAACUGUAAACACCAUCCAUCACUGUAUUAAUUAUCAAUAUGGAUUCAACCUACUAUCCUGAAAAAAUAACAUGAAUUUACCUCUAUCCUAUGUGUGGCUUGGCUUUGUCAAAAUAGAUUCCUCCUAGUUUCUCAAAAUUUUUUGAAAUCUGGUCAUAUCUGUUUGUGGCUAGAUUUUGAAAAACCCUUCAUGUAAAGUGUUCAAGGCAUCAGACUGAUUCUGGUGUUAUCGAAUGUUCAAAACUGUAGAGGUGAGUGCUAAACAGACCUGCGCAGCUACUCUAGGGUAAAAUUAAUUCUCAAACGCCCUCACUGACACUUUGCAGUGUCUUCUCCAGCAGACAUUUCUGACUGCUGCCGGCCUAAGCUCUGCUAAUGGAGGUUUAUAAAGGCCUUCACAAUUCCUAUGGUAACCCAGGAGAAAGGCUGUUGCCAUGGGGACUAGUGAAGCCUAUAUAAACCUUCCAUCUCCAUCAGACAGAUGAGAACGAUGUGAGAAUGAAUCCUUUGCUAAUUCACCUCCAGAAAUGGCUAAUAAUUAUCUCUGUUUUUGGAAAAAGAUUCUUCAUUUCUUUCAGGUUGUCCUGGGUCCUGAGAUUACAUCUUUCUCAAGUAAUGUGUAAAACAGACACCCUGACUCUUUCCGUAUCCUAAGCUGACACCCUUGAAGAGUUGAUGAUGGUGUAAAGUUUGAAGAUGGAGCAAAUAUAUCUGUGGACUCUUUUGCACAUUACUUUCCCCCCCUCUAUUCAGGGUAGAAAUAGGGCUGGUGGACGGAAGCUACCAAAAAAUAUUUUAAUCAAUACUAAUAAAAACUUUCUAAAAAUGAGGGUAACAAAAAAGAUGGGAGCUGCUUCCUGGAGUGGCACUGAGUGGUUCCUGACAUAUUGUAGAUUUCUCAAUAAAUUACUAACUCUUAUAUAUCUUACAGUUGUUUCAAAAACUUUCAGAGUAAGAAAGUAUCAAGGUUAUGCUGGCCUCACCAAAGUGAUUUAGAAAACAUUAUAUCUUUUUCUAUACUCAGGAAGAGAGUACAUAACAUUACCAUUAUUUCUUUCUUAAAUGUUUAAGAUAAUUCACCUGCGAAGCCAUCAGGGCCUAGAGUUUUUUCUGUGGGAUGGAUUUUGAUAGCAGAUUCAGCUUGUUUUAUGUAAAUAAGAAUGUCCACAUUUCAGAUCUCUUUUGGUGUCUCUUUCAGAAAGUUGUGCUCUAGACAUUUGUUUCAUCUUAGUUUCAGAUUUAUUUUCACAAUAUUUUUCAUAAUAUCUUCUUUUUUUUCCCUAAUUUCUGUAGAUUCUGUAGUGAUGCCUUCUUUUUCAUUCCUGAUACUUCAAAUUUGUCCAUCUCUCUUUUUUCUUCAUGAGUCUUGCAGGAGUUUAUUAAUUUUAUCCUUUUUAUUUUUCAAGGAACCAACAUUUGGUUUGACUGACUCUGUUGUAGAUUUGUUUUCUAUUUCAUUAAUUUUUCUUCUUUAUUAUACUCUUUCUUCUACCUUUUUGGACUUUGUUUUGCUUUUGUCCCUAAGUUCUUGCAGUAGAUACUUAGGUAAUUGAUUUUCAGCUCAUAUUAUUUUCUAAUAUAAGCUUUUAAACCUAUUUUUCUCUCAGCACAUUUUUAACUUCUCCCAUGCUUUCAUAAGCUGUAGAAUCACUACCAUUCAAUUUAAAAUAUGUUCUAAUUUCCAGUAUCAUCACUUCUUUGACACAGAGGUUAUUUAGAAUGAUAUCAUCUAAUUUCCAAACAUAAGGGAAUUUUAGAGUCAUCUUUUUAUAACUGGUAUAGCUUAAUUCCACUGUGGUCAGAAAACAGACUUUAAAAGAUUUCAGGCCUUUGAAAUUUGUUAAGGUUUGCUUUGUGGUUUAGUAUAUGUCAAUUUUAGUAACUGCUCCUUAUGCACUGAAAAGAACAUUUAUUCUUUCUUUGCAGUGUUUUAUAAACAUCAAUUAGAUUAGGUUUGUUUAUUGCAUUGCUUUGGUGUUCUUUGUUCUUACUGAUUUCCCUCCCUGCUUAUUCUACUCAUUAUUAUGAGAAGUAUGUUAAAGUUUUUCACACUGAUGUGCAUUCAACUAUUACUUUUAGUUCUAUAAAUUUUUACCUUAUGUAUUUUGAAACUAUGUUAUCAGAUGCAUACAAAUUUAGAGAUUGUUAUAUCUUCCUGGUGAAUAAAACCUUAUAUUAUUAUCAAA